UACGUAGGGGGCAAGCGUUGUCCGGAAUCAUUGGGCGUAAAGCGCGCGUAGGCGGCCCUGUAAGUCCGCUGUGAAAGUCGAGGGCUCAACCCUCGAAUGCCGGUGGAUACUGUCGGGCUUGAGUACGGGAGAGGCGAGUGGAAUUCCUGGUGUAGCGGUGAAAUGCGCAGAUAUCAGGAGGAACACCGAUUGCGAAGGCAGCUCGCUGGAACGUUACUGACGCUGAGACGCGAAAGCGUGGGGAGCAAACAGG
rnacentral:rRNA from 1 species